rnacentral:rRNA from 1 species
UACGGAGGGUCCGAGCGUUGUCCGGAAUUAUUGGGUUUAAAGGGUACGUAGGCGGAAUAAUAAGUCAGAGGUGAAAUCCUGCAGCUCAACUGUAGAACUGCCUUUGAAACUGUUAUUCUUGAGUAUGGUAGGGGUAAGCGGAAUUUAUAAUGUAGCGGUGAAAUGCAUAGAUAUUAUAAAGAACACCGAUAGCGAAGGCAGCUUACUGGACCAUAACUGACGCUAAUGUACGAAAGCGUGGGUAGCGAAC